UCUCCGAUUCUUCGGCCGUACUCGGCAAAGCGACCUUGUGAAGGCUUUUUUUCUGUCUCUUUUCCAUGGUGAACACACCAAAAAUGAUACUGACGUCGAUUCGUUUGAUAUUGUCGGCACCUCGUUUUGUGACCUUGAUUUAAAAUCCGCCAUCUUAUCGAGGGUACCAAAGGCGCGUAUUAAAAUGAAAAAGUUAUUGGAUAAUUUACCACCAAUAGCAGCAAUACCUUGGUGCCUCUCCAUAAUGUGGCGUCAGUUUUGGCGAAAUACUCCUAGUGACACUUCUGGUUAUUCUGUGGUUAACUUAUGUUGUUCCGAUAGUACAUAUAUAUGACCGGCGUGUUUAUUUUAACUCAUUGUAAAAAAUGUCGCUUCGAACCAACGUUCUUAACAUAGUGAGCAUAACAUGCCAUGCAAUAAGGCCAAAUCCAAUCUUAGAGGUGGUUGAUCCUGCCACCAUAUUUUCAAUCAUCCUCGGAGGAUACAUAGUCUGCUAUAAUGAUAAGUUUUAUGUGUGUUAUAAGUUAUUGAAUUUUUAUGUCACUUUUAAUAUAUGUUGUAAAAUUUA